UUUAUCUUUUAUAAGCAAAACCCAGUAAGGGUGAUUUAUUAAAUUUUCGUUUCUCAUCGUUGGAUAGAUUCGUGGAAAGAAGUGUUUAAUUGUGGAUGACUCUCAUUAAUCAUUCAAACAUCAAGUUUCGAAAAACUUGGAGUAUAUGAUACUGUAUAUCUGAAGGAACUCAAAGCGAGUAUUCUGUUUAUUUCGUUCUUUGGCGUAUUCUUGCAUAUGAAAAGCUAGGUCAGAAAACCUGUCAGCCGCCAAGGGAGUAUACCAGAACAAGAUGCAUGUUGCCGAACCAUGGCCUUCAGAGAACGAGAAGAACUUUAAGAAAGGCUGGUUAACAUACAUUACCAUAUCUUUGCUUACACAUAGGCAACUCUUAUUGAGUGUUCUUAGAGACAUGAGAGUCCCUCCUAGACCAAUGCUUCUAAUAUUCUCCCACAUUGCAAGUAUAUUCAUCCUGGUAGUCUCCGGGAGAGAAGAUGAAGUGGGAGCUCAAGAAAGUUUGGGACGAGUAUAAAAUAUCAGAGUCGGGUUGUUGAUCUUCUUGUGUUCAAGAGCAAUACAAGGUAUAUGUGUUGUCAAGGGGCUUGUAGGAAUGGUGCAAAGGAGGACGAAGAUUCUUUGAUAUCUCUGAAGAACAUACUGGGAUUCUUACUGCUAGUGCCAAGUUCUCUCACAAUUUGAUCUAUAGUGCGACGCCACAUUGUAUGGACCUGACCGGCACCAUUCUCCAUUGUAAAGAUGUUUUGUAUGUGGCCAAAAAGAUGGUCCGUAGUCCUGUAAAAGUCACUCUCGCAGUUUUGUUCCCUUUUGCAGAGAAGUUUACCACCAUCCAAAAGUAGACUAACUGCAAGGCCUUAAUUUCCACUAUGACUUGCUUUUAUUUCA